rnacentral:rRNA from 1 species
UACAGAGGUCCCAAGCGUUGUUCGGAUUUACUGGGCGUAAAGGGAGCGUAGGUGGCUUGUUAAGUCUGGUGUGAAAUCUCUGAGCUUAACUCAGAAACUGCACUAGAUACUAGCGAGCUUGAGUGUUGGAGGGGAGAUUGGAAUUCUCGGUGUAGCAGUGAAAUGCGUAGAUAUCGAGAGGAACACCAGUGGCGAAGGCGAAUCUCUGGACAACAACUGACACUGAUGCUCGAAAGCUAGGGGAUCAAACGGG